AUCCGCCAUGUCUACACAGUCUUAAGCAACAGGCCUGACAAUGUGAGCAAUUUUAUUCGGAGCUUAGGGGCAAUUUUCGGUCCGGAUACAAGGCUCGUGUAUAAGCACUAUGCUACCUUAUAUUUCGUGUUUCUAUUUGAUAACUCUGAGAAUGAGUUGGCCAUGCUCGACUUAAUACAAGUUUUUGUAGAAACUCUGGACAAAUGCUUCAGAAGUGUAUGCGAGCUUGAUGUAGUAUUCAAUUAUAGCAAGAUGCAUAUCA
rnacentral:misc_RNA from 1 species